UGGGGAAUUUUGGACAAUGGGCGAAAGCCUGAUCCAGCCAUGCCGCGUGAGUGAAGAAGGCCUUCGGGUUGUAAAGCUCUUUUAGUCGGAAAGAAAGAGUUGCAAUGAAUAAUUGUGAUUUAUGACGGUACCGACAGAAAAAGCACCGGCUAACUACGUGCCAGCAGCCGCGGUAAUACGUAGGGUGCGAGCGUUAAUCGGAAUUACUGGGCGUAAAGGGUGCGCAGGCGGUUUUUCAAGUCAGAUGUGAAAGCCCCGGGCUUAACCUGGGAAUUGCGUUUGAAACUACAAGACUAGAGUGCAGCAGAGGGGAGUGGAAUUCCAUGUGUAGCAGUGAAAUGCGUAGAGAUGUGGAAGAACACCGAUGGCGAAGGCAGCUCCCUGGGUUGACACUGACGCUCAUGCACGAAAGCGUGGGGAGCAAACA
rnacentral:rRNA from 1 species